AUGUUCUCUGUAGCUGUAGUGCUGCUGCUCCUGGCUGCUGGCUCUGGUGUGAUCUGUGAAAAGCUUACUCAGCCCGAGUCUCUGACUAUCCGACCUGGUCAACCUCUGACCAUCCACUGUCAGGUCUCUUAUUCUGUUAGUACCUUCGCCACAGCUUGGAUCAGAAAACCUGAAGGACACGGACUGGAAUGGAUAGGCGAUGAAGUAAAUCUGAAAGACUCCCUAGGUAGCAAAUUCAGUAUUUCUGUUGACGAGGCCAGCAACACAGCUACUUUACAAGGACAAAACAUGCAGCCUGGAGACUCAGCUGUGUAUUUCUGUGCCAGGCACCACAGCGUUACAAACUAUUAUGAAGCGUAUACAAAAACCCUUCAACCAUGA